GCGUGGCGCGGGGGGUCAGGCUGCGGCGCCAGAGUACUGCGCGUGCGCAUUACGGGGGCCGCCUGGUUCCCCGCCCGCCGCCCUUUUAACCGCGAGCUACAGAG